CGCAAGCCUGACGGAGCAAGACCGCGUGGGGGAGGAAUGCCUUAGGGUUGUAAACCCCUUUUAUCUGGGAAGAACAAAAUGACGGUACCAGAUGAAUAAGCCUCGGCUAACUCCGUGCCAGCAGCCGCGGUAAUACGGAGGAGGCAAGCGUUAUCCGGAAUUAUUGGGCGUAAAGCGUCCGCAGGUGGCAAUUCAAGUCUGCUGUCAAAGCACGGGGCUUAACUCCGUAAAGGCAGUGGAAACUGAAUAGCUAGAGUGCCGUAGGGGUAGAGGGAAUUCCCGGUGUAGCGGUGAAAUGCGUAGAGAUCGGGAAGAACAUCGGUGGCGAAAGCGCUCUACUGGACGGCAACUGACACUCAGGGACGAAAGCUAGGGGAGCG
rnacentral:rRNA from 1 species